UCAUGGAAUAAAAAUAUAAUUAUAUGUUUAAGGAAAUAAAAUCGAAGAGUAUAUAGACUUAGCGUGAAUUUUAGCCAGAAAAGGCCAAAAUUUAUUUUUAUACAAAAAAUUGACUGAAAUACUUAUAUUACAGACAGUUUUCGAGGAUUUUAGGCGAACUUUUUUAAUACUUUUUCUUAAAGUUUCCUUUUUAUCUCGAACACAAUUUUUCAGUGUGUGCAUUUAAUGUACACAGUCCAGUGAGGCGAUUUUUUGACAUGAUUAACAGCAACUAGGUUUUCAUUCAUUGCAAUGUAUUAAAAAAAACUUUUAUUGAUGCUCGUUGUGCACAGCUGGGUUGAAGAAAUGCAGAGCAUAUUUUGUUACUGAGAAAGUUUCAAUUUCUUCCAGUUUCAAUUCUUUAAAUUUCUUUUAAUUCCUUUUUAUCACACCUAAGUAAUAAUACGUGAUCUACCAUGCAUCGGUUAAUGUCAUAAAAUUGUUUUUAUAAUUUAUUUCUCUUUUUAAAUCAAGAUUUAAGGAGGAGCAAAAAACACCCCUUCCAGUUCUCUGCCCCUCGUCCCUUUGCCCGUGACAAGGAGUAUUUUCUGAUAUUCUGUAAAUAAUUCAUUCAACAAUUCAUUUGAGAUUUUAAUGCUAUUAUUUUUCAAGUUCGUAUAAAUAUAAAAUCUUGUAAUAGCGUAUUUGCAAUUUUUUAUCAUGUAAAUUUUUCCAAACCGAAAGAUUAAUAUCUUUUGUAGUUUUAAAGUUCCAAUUUGUCUUUAUAUAAAGUACUUUAACGUUAACGAAUGAGAAAUUAUCAGUAUAUCGUGUCAUAAAAAGCAUUAAAAUCUCCGAAUUUGUUUUCAUUUCUUCAAACACACAGCUACAAUAAAUAUAUUUUUAUUAAUUACAAAUCUGUUAAAACAAAUUCAUCAAUCAUUAAAACAUCGCAAUUAAAUUAUAUCCGAGAUGAAAUAGAGGCGGGGGGUCUAUUUUCCCAAGUUUCCAAUUUUAUCUUCCCAAAAGAACGGUGCGCCGGCGCUGUGCGGGGAGGGAAAUCUUACAUUCAUUUACACUCCAAGGUGCAGCUAAGUAGAAAUUAACAAGUUCACGGGGGGGGGGGGAUUAAGCGUGCCCCCUCCCCCCAAAAUCUUAACCGCUUCGACGAAGAUUCCGGGGAACCGUCGACGGUGCUCUCGCGGGAAGGGGUGGGCAACGCGCGGAGGAGCGUCGGUGUGUCGCGCGGCGCCGCGAUGGUGGGGGAGCGCGAAAGGAAAGGAACGGCCGGCGGCGGCGGCGGCGGCGCGCGUAUUCGCCGCGCGACGCGCAAUGUGCACCGCGCCAUCGUUCGAAACGCGUCGGUGUCGCUCUCUCGCGCGUGCUUCGUGGUGACACGUCGUGGCGACAAACGAUAUACUCCGUCGCCUUUCGCGCGAGCACGAGCAGCCGUUUGACGAUUGACACGAGGAAGACGAAACCCCACGCACGGCACGUGAGACUCGAUACUUUCCCCUACUCUCGGGCGAGACUGAAUCGCCUCGUGGCGGAGAGCAGGGAGAGAGAGGUGGGAGGGGAAACGCCGUCUCGUCCCGCGAGAUCAUGAUCCGCGUCGCGGAAGUGCGAUAACGCGAGAUCGAGCGAGGACGAGCCUGGCGUCGCCUCGAGGAAGGAAUCCGUGCCGCUUUCUUCUUCCCCUCUCGGUGGACGAACGCAAAAGCGCCGGCGAUCGAAUGCGCCUCGUUGGAUGCUGCCGGCAGCGCGCGUGGUCGACCUGGAACCCCGUGCUCGUCGGGGCUACGCCGCCGCUGCCGCUGUGAGUUGGUGCUGUUACCGCUGCUGCCGUUGCCGUUCGUGUUGCCGCUGCCCCAGGUAGCACUGGUGGCCGCGAUGGACGCGCGCGUGGUCGGUGUCGGUGCGCCGGCCGCGGAAGAGACGCCGGUGGCGGUGGCGACGCGGGGCGUCGCGACGCCCUCGCCGGUCCCCUCGGCGCCGAGCUGUACCGCCGUGGUAACCGUCACCGGUACCGGCAACGGCAGCGUCGUCGGCGGCGGCGGUGGUGGUUCCACCGCCGCCGCGACCCUCGCGUCCGCGUCCUGCACCCCGCAGAAUCCCCCGGUCGUCGUCGUCGCCAGCCCGUCCAACAACCAUCAACAGCCGGUCACUGCCGUACCCAGGAUACUCAGCAGGAACGUCAACGGCACGUUGGUGCAGACGUCCGUGCCGCAGAACGAGGCCGAGCUGCAGCUGUAUAGAGUGAUGCAGCGUGCCUCGCUGUUGGGAUACUACGACACGCUCCUCGAGAUGGGAGGCGACGAUGUGCAACAGCUGUGCGACGCGGGCGAGGAGGAGUUCCUGGAGAUCAUGGCGCUGGUGGGCAUGGCGAGCAAGCCGCUUCACGUCAGGAGGCUGCAGAAAGCGUUGCAGGAGUGGCUCACUAAUCCCUCGUUGUUUCAAACGCCGGUCGUGCCGACGAACGCCGCCGCCGCCGCGGCCGCCGUCGCCGCCGCCGCAGCGGCCGCCAAGAGCCCGGUCGCCGCCGCCGCCUUCGCCUGCGCGAGUCCGCGGCCGCAGAUGCAGAGCUUGCCGACCGCCGCCGGCUUUGGCGCGACCUCCCAGACCACCCUGACGCCGGCGUCCUACGUGUCGACGACGCCCCACGUGUCGCUGACGUCGCUGCCCUGCCGAAGCGCCAGCCCGGUCGUACCGGCGGUCACCAGCGUGUCGACGUCGGCGUCCUCGACGACCUUCCGCCAGAGCCCGAGCCCGAACACGUCUCUACCUUACGCGACCACUCACAGUCCCAAUGUGUUACAGGUAGGAACGUGCGAGUCUUCGUGCGGCAGCGGAACCACGCCGAGUCCGAGCGGCGGUGGCGGCGGCGGCGGAGGUGGCGGUGGCUGCGGUGGUGCACCUGCGAGCCCGACACAGCCGACGCCGACCCUUCUGCAGUCACAGGUGCAGCGGCUCGCCGAGGCCGCGGAGAGGCUCGUCGCCACCAUAAGGCCCCUCGAUCCCAAACCCCACAAUGUGAAGAAAAAACUCUGCAAGAACCUGGAGAUGGUGAUGACGAUGUCUGACAGUGAUCCGCGCAAAAUGGAUGAGAUCCGGAAGUACGCGGCGAUCUACGGCAGAUUCGAUUGCAAGAGAAAGCCGGAGAAGCCGCUCACGUUGCACGAGGUCUCGGUGAACGAAGCGGCGGCGCAGAUCUGCAGAUUCGUGCCUGCCCUCCUCACUAGGAGGGACGAGUUGUUCCCCUUGGCACGUCGUGUCGUCCGUGAUUCCGGCUAUCACUACUCUAAAAGCCAAUACUUGUCGAUGUCGAGGCCGCGCGAAAACGGAGAGGAGACCGACAGCGAGCGUUUGAAACGUCGGAAACUGGAGCUGGAGGGUGAGGGUGAGGACGCGACGCAGGAAUUGGAUUUACGAUGUUCUGGAACGGAUAUUAACAAUUCUAUCACAAGGAGACACAGGUCGUCGAGUCUGGAGGAAGAAGAGUAAUAAUGGCAUAUUUAGCGCUAGCGUGGAGGAAAUCAGCGACUCGGAUAGCCAAUUCUCUUUUUCUAAUGAGGAAUCCUCAUCUAUGCACGACACAAACGAGGCAGAGGCUGAGAAUACCGACAAAGAAGGAGAUUUCAAUUUAAAG
rnacentral:misc_RNA from 1 species